GAUGAACGCUAGCGGCAGGCUUAAUACAUGCAAGUCGUGGGGCAGCAGGUUUGUAGCAAUACAGAUGCUGGCGACCGGCAAACGGGUGCGGAACACGUACAGAACCUUCCUUUGAGCGGGGAAUAGCCCAGAGAAAUUUGGAUUAAUACCCCAUAGUAUAAUGAAGUGGCAUCACUUUAUAUUAAAGAUUUAUCACUCGAAGAUGGCUGUGCGGCUGAUUAGGUAGUUGGCGGGGUAAAGGCCCACAAGCCUGCGAUCAGUAACUGGUGUGAGAGCACGACCAGUCACACGAGCACUGAGACACGGGCCCGA
rnacentral:rRNA from 1 species